rnacentral:rRNA from 1 species
GACGAACGCUGGCGGCGUGCUUAACACAUGCAAGUCGAGCGGUAAGGCCCUUUCGGGGUACGACGAGCGGCGAACGGGUGAGUAACACGUGGGUGACCUCGCCCUCCAGCUCUGGGAGUAAGCCUGGGAAACGUGGGUCUAAUACUGGAUAUGACUCCACGGUGCAUGUCGGUGGGGUGGAAAGCCUUGUGCGGCUGAGGAU